UUAAGCGACUAAGCGUACACGGUGGAUGCCCUGGCAGUCAGAGGCGAUGAAGGGCGUGCUAAUCUGCGAUAAGCGCCGGUAAGGUGAUAUGAACCGUUAUAACCGGCGAUACCCGAAUGGGGAAACCCAGUGUGACUCGUCACACUAUCAUUAACUGAAUCCAUAGGUUAAUGAGGCGAACCGGGGGAACUGAAACAUCUAAGUACCCCGAGGAAAAGAAAUCAACCGAGAUUCCCCCAGUAGCGGCGAGCGAACGGGGAGGAGCCCAGAGCCUGAAUCAGCAUGUGUGUUAGUGGAAGCGUCUGGAAAGGCGCGCGAUACAGGGUGACAGCCCCGUACACAAAAGCGCAUGUGCUGUGAGCUCGAUGAGUAGGGCGGGACACGUGGUAUCCUGUCUGAAUAUGGGGGGACCAUCCUCCAAGGCUAAAUACUCCUGACUGACCGAUAGUGAACCAGUACCGUGAGGGAAAGGCGAAAAGAACCCCGGCGAGGGGAGUGAAAAAGAACCUGAAACCGUGUACGUACAAGCAGUGGGAGCCCCACCACCAAAGCAUUCUCUGGUGUUGAAGGCCCUGCAAAGCAGCAUCGCGGUGGCGGAGCGUCGUUUGCGACGCCCAACACACAAAACAAGCGGUGAAUGCUUUGGGGUGGGGUGACUGCGUACCUUUUGUAUAAUGGGUCAGCGACUUAUAUUCUGUAGCAAGGUUAACCGAAUAGGGGAGCCGGAGGGAAACCGAGUCUUAAUUGGGCGUUAAGUUGCAGGGUAUAGACCCGAAACCCGGUGAUCUAGCCAUGGGCAGGUUGAAGGUUGGGUAACACUAACUGGAGGACCGAACCGACUAAUGUUGAAAAAUUAGCGGAUGACCUGUGGCUGGGGGUGAAAGGCCAAUCAAACCGGGAGAUAGCUGGUUCUCCCCGAAAGCUAUUUAGGUAGCGCCUCGUGAAUUCAUCUCCGGGGGUAGAGCACUGUUUCGGCUAGGGGGCCAUCCCGGCUUACCAACCCGAUGCAAACUGCGAAUACCGGAGAAUGUUAUCACGGGAGACACACGGCGGGUGCUAACGUCCGUCGUGAAGAGGGAAACAACCCAGACCGCCAGCUAAGGUCCCAAAGUCAUGGUUAAGUGGGAAACGAUGUGGGAAGGCCCAGACAGCCAGGAUGUUGGCUUAGAAGCAGCCAUCAUUUAAAGAAAGCGUAAUAGCUCACUGGUCGAGUCGGCCUGCGCGGAAGAUGUAACGGGGCUAAACCAUGCACCGAAGCUGCGGCAGCGACGCUGAUGCGUUGUUGGGUAGGGGAGCGUUCUGUAAGCCUGUGAAGGUGUGUCGUGAGGCAUGCUGGAGGUAUCAGAAGUGCGAAUGCUGACAUAAGUAACGAUAAAGCGGGUGAAAAGCCCGCUCGCCGGAAGACCAAGGGUUCCUGUCCAACGUUAAUCGGGGCAGGGUGAGUCGACCCCUAAGGCGAGGCCGAAAGGCGUAGUCGAUGGGAAACGGGUUAAUAUUCCCGUACUUGGUGUUACUGCGAAGGGGGGACGGAGAAGGCUAUGUUGGCCGGGCGACGGUUGUCCCGGUUUAAGCGUGUAGGUGUGUGUUCCAGGUAAAUCCGGUUCACUUUAACACUGAGGCGUGACGACGAGGCACUACGGUGCUGAAGCAACAAAUGCCCUGCUUCCAGGAAAAGCCUCUAAGCAUCAGGUAACACGAAAUCGUACCCCAAACCGACACAGGUGGUCAGGUAGAGAAUACCAAGGCGCUUGAGAGAACUCGGGUGAAGGAACUAGGCAAAAUGGUGCCGUAACUUCGGGAGAAGGCACGCUGACACGUAGGUGAAGUGAUUUACUCAUGGAGCUGAAGUCAGUCGAAGAUACCAGCUGGCUGCAACUGUUUAUUAAAAACACAGCACUGUGCAAACACGAAAGUGGACGUAUACGGUGUGACGCCUGCCCGGUGCCGGAAGGUUAAUUGAUGGGGUCAGCGCAAGCGAAGCUCCUGAUCGAAGCCCCGGUAAACGGCGGCCGUAACUAUAACGGUCCUAAGGUAGCGAAAUUCCUUGUCGGGUAAGUUCCGACCUGCACGAAUGGCGUAAUGAUGGCCAGGCUGUCUCCACCCGAGACUCAGUGAAAUUGAACUCGCUGUGAAGAUGCAGUGUACCCGCGGCAAGACGGAAAGACCCCGUGAACCUUUACUAUAGCUUGACACUGAACAUUGAGCCUUGAUGUGUAGGAUAGGUGGGAGGCUUUGAAGUGUGGACGCCAGUCUGCAUGGAGCCGACCUUGAAAUACCACCCUUUAAUGUUUGAUGUUCUAACGUGGACCCGUAAUCCGGGUUGCGGACAGUGUCUGGUGGGUAGUUUGACUGGGGCGGUCUCCUCCUAAAGAGUAACGGAGGAGCACGAAGGUUGGCUAAUCCUGGUCGGACAUCAGGAGGUUAGUGCAAUGGCAUAAGCCAGCUUGACUGCGAGCGUGACGGCGCGAGCAGGUGCGAAAGCAGGUCAUAGUGAUCCGGUGGUUCUGAAUGGAAGGGCCAUCGCUCAACGGAUAAAAGGUACUCCGGGGAUAACAGGCUGAUACCGCCCAAGAGUUCAUAUCGACGGCGGUGUUUGGCACCUCGAUGUCGGCUCAUCACAUCCUGGGGCUGAAGUAGGUCCCAAGGGUAUGGCUGUUCGCCAUUUAAAGUGGUACGCGAGCUGGGUUUAGAACGUCGUGAGACAGUUCGGUCCCUAUCUGCCGUGGGCGCUGGAGAACUGAGGGGGGCUGCUCCUAGUACGAGAGGACCGGAGUGGACGCAUCACUGGUGUUCGGGUUGUCAUGCCAAUGGCACUGCCCGGUAGCUAAAUGCGGAAGAGAUAAGUGCUGAAAGCAUCUAAGCACGAAACUUGCCCCGAGAUGAGUUCUCCCUGAGACUUUAGGUCUCCUGAAGGAACGUUGAAGACGACGACGUUGAUAGGCCGGGUGUGUAAGCGCAGCGAUGCGUUGAGCUAACCGGUACUAAUGAACCGUGAGGCUUAACCUU
rnacentral:rRNA from 1 species